GAAAAACGAAAAAGGAAAGAGGAACAAAAGUAGAGAAAUUCUUUUUUUAAAAUUUUGAACCUCUCCGGAGACUAUUUUACCAUAACUCGUAACUGUCCAAAGCCAAUAGGGGCACGGGGGAGCAUUGAAGAGAAGGCCUUCAAACUUAUUGCAUUUAUUAUAAACAAUUUUGGUCGCAAAAUUCCGUUCGUCGAUGUCGUUCGCAGCGUGAGUGGCCAACUGUGCCGAGAUUUUGAGAGCGCAUUCAUUAAGAUCUCUAAGUUAAACGAGAUUUUCCUAAAUUUGCAAAUAGAAGGGAAUAUUAUGCAUCGUGAAGACGUUUAGCAAAAAUGCACAACAAUUUUCUUUGCCCACUGCAGCGUUUAAUCUCCGGAAUGCUCUUCCCGCUUGUCGCUCGAUCAACACAACGCAUUAGUAGGUCAUUUGAUCUGGAGAUCAAUAAUAAAACUUUAAGGAUGUAUUUGUGAUCGGUAUCGAAUUCUGUUUCAUUCAAAUGAAACUUUCUCAACAAAGUUUCUUUCGUUUUCAAAAUAAUAUCUAACCAUGUAUGAGAUAUGAAUGUAUCGUUAUAAUCGGGGACUCGUACAACACAACAACGCAGAAUGGAGUGUCAGUGUUCGCUUGGCUUUAAAAACAACUAACAACAGAAUGAAAGCAAGUUAUGGCAAUCAUUUUUCCUAAUUGAUUACCGUAGCAAUGAAAUCAAUAACACACUGCCAAAAGAGUGUUUCCAAACUUGACUUGACUCAAUUAAAAACACCACCAGUUCGAUAGAAAAACCUAAUUUUAACAAAGCAAAAAGUUUACUUCUCCUAAAGACAUGAACACAUUGGCAUAAAAUGUCAACUUUCAAUAGCCCAAUUGAAGAAAUUUUGUUAUUCUCGGAAAAAUCACUUUAGAGAUACGGUAAGUGAAAGGAAAGUGAUGUAGUAUAGGUAGUAAGUAGCGGAGAAUAUAUUAAAGGAUAUUCAUGCCGCGGGUUUUCGAGUUGUUUCCUUGUUAGCUUGCAAAAAUGUAUUAGCGUUUAAUGAGCCUUAUAAUCUCUCUGUUCUGUUUAUGUCGAUUUUGUAUGUAUACGCGAAUGUGGAUAUUAUACUGACAUUAUCGAAAUUGACAGAAUAAGCCAAAGUCCGAUGGCAGAGAAUUGAUUUGAUAAUGAAGAUGCGGAAAAAUAUUUUUCAAAUUUUUAAUAAAUGAUAAGUAAAAACGCUACAAUGGGUCACGGCCCACUAUUAAAUACAUCAAACCAUCGUACAGUUAUUUAAGGCAUUCUAUGAGAAAUGCUCGAAUAAUUGGAUUGAUUCAAACUUAUCUGUCCGUCUCUCUGUCUCACGUUUUCGGGAUUACUAUUCAUGAAAAGGAUAAUUAGAAUACGCCUGUUCACUGGUCUACAGUUUACGAAGCAGACUUCCCAAUAUAUUCCUCAAGCGAAUGCUACGUGGGAACAGUCUUUUUCCCCGUUAAAAUAUAACGUUUAGUCAACACAUGUUAUUCGGAUUUUUCUAUUCUUUUGAAGAUGUCACUAAAACCAUAUGAAUUCGACAAUUGAAAUACUAUGGAAUUUUGAUGGGCAUCCAUUGAGGGUAGGAGCUUUUCAAAAAUGAUAAAGAAAGUUGUCAUUAAUCCCGGGACUUAUUGAUCGAUAUAUUUUCUUCACUAGAGUACGGAUCACACCUUAAAUGUUUAAAUGUUCAAUCAAAAUCAAUGACGCAGUCGAUUCUUAAACUUAACAUCUCCAUUCUAUUAAAGAUAAACCAGAAUAUGUAUAUAUGUAUGUAUAAUAUAUUUUAUAGGAUACCCAUUGUAUAUAUUUCCGCACGCUGUAAACAUUCAUUAAAGUUAAUAUGCCCCCUGUGGAUGGUGUAUAUAAUCAGUAAUUAUAAACAUAUUGUACGUCUUUUCGCACAAAGCGAUUAAACCUAAUGAUUGAACAUAAAUAAACACGCCUUUUGUGAUUGUUUUAAUACAAAUAUAAAUUACUUACUUACAAAAGAGAAUUGCAUUGAAACGAUCAAAUUUCGUUUACAAAUUCAAAACAAAUUCGAAGCAAUAAACAAAUACAUAUUCGAUAAAGAUAGAAAAAUAAAAAUAUUAGUAAGCAAUAGACAAGUGAAUCGAUCAGACAAGAAACUUUUUGGGGCGUUUUCAACUGACUUCACUGUAACUCUCAUAAUCCAUCAAUUGAAUCAAAUUUAAUCUCGAGUUUUAUUACAAUUUUAAACUCAUUCGCAAAAAUGUUUUGUGAUACGUCUUUUUUUUUUUUUUUUGCCAAAGAUAUUUUAGUCUCUCCCAAGUGUAUGCGUACAUAUCAUUUUGUAGAUACACAUGUAUAUAUAUAUAUAUAUAUGGAUAUAUAUAUGAAAAGGUCUUAUUUAUCAAUGAAAUUUACGUAAAUAAAUUUCGAAUACAUUCAUUGAUCAACAAUACCCCUUAUGUUAUUUAUACUUACAGACCGUAUUCAAGCAGUUUACUUUCUAUUUUAUUCCUUUUGUUAUUUUUCUAGGUGAAGCAAAGACUAUCGGUCGACUAUUACAGUACGCAAGGGAAACAAUCUGUCUAUUAUUGUGUAAAGAGGGCUUUUUCAAUUUAUUUUAAAUCUCAUCCACAUCUGCAUAUUAGAGGAAGGAAGGAUACGUAUUAGAUUUCUUAAAUGGUGCAAGAACGUUUUUAUUGCCAAACAUAAUUGUAUAGCAAAGUGCGGGAAACGUGAGAUGCGUUUUUACGAAAAAUGAGUUCACGCAGCAUAACUCUCAACGAAUUACAUGCCUUCACUCAUCCAUUAGAAAAGCGUGCGAGAGAGAUUUGCGAUAAGUUAAUUUCAUUAGUAAAAGUUUGGCAAAUAUUCGCCAAAAUGUGUUAAAAAAAUUAAAAUUUUUAAAAACCUCUUCAUACUGCUCGAACUAUAGCGAUGUAAAUUAAAUGAGAUUUGUUUCUUUUUUUUUUUUUACAAAUCCCAAUAGGACGCUUCAGAGAACCCACAAAGCGCAUAUAUUCUUAAUGAGCAGCAAAUUCUGAAUCGAUUUAAGCAUGUCCGUCUAUCCGGUUGUCCGUCGAAGUAAUAUCUGAAAUGUUGCAAGUUGUUGAGCCAAAGUGCUCAUUACUCGAUAUAAGGAUUCAAAUUUUCACGUCCAUGACUUCUAUAUCAUCCAUAGGAGGCAAAAAAAAAACAAAAUCCUAUAUAAUUGUAAAUCAGCUUAUAAGACCAAGAAAUCAAGGCGACCAAAGGACACGCGGACAUGCUUAAAUCGAUUAAGAAUUUUGUGCUGAUUAAGAGUGCAUAUGCUCCGGAAGCGUUUUUGAGGCUUCUUUCUGGCCUUUGCAAACGUUUCGAAAAAAUGGAUAUAAUUCUCAUCCUUCGGUGAUGCGUAUAGAAGCAGGAAAAUAGCAAUUGCAAAUCUGACAAGAUUAUUGCCAAUGUAUAAGUAUUAUCUUCUUCUUUUUUUUUUUUUAAUACACUUUAAAAUUGAUAUCUUAGUAUUUAUUUAAAGCAAUAAAGGCGAUGGAGCGGAAAAAUGUGCCAAAAAGUUUGGAAAUUAUUGCAGUAAACUUAAACUGUACGCGAUUGUAAUGGACUUGAACUUUAUAAAUGUCCCGUAUCGAGAGAUUUGUGGAUGGAAACGUCUUUCUAUCGCCCGCUAACUCAUCCAUGUGCGCAGCUUUAUAUCUUUAAGUUAAACUUAAGUUAGCGCCCGAAAAUAAAAU